UUUUUAUUUGAUUUUCUAUUUUCGUUUGCACACACAUGGUUAUCUUGCAAUUUGUAAUAUUGCAUUUAUUUUGUUUAGGCGGACCAGGAAAUGCUAAAACCCUGUCUUUUAUGUUUGCUGACCCAUUGUGCAGGUAACCGAUAAGUUGUUUUAGUUUUAUGUAUGUUUAAAAUCCCACUUGUGGCGUUGCUAGCAUUCGCAGCCUAGAAUGUCUAGCUGGUCCUGCCAUUAUUGUGUUUUACAUGCAAUAACGCCGGUCGCCACAUGAGUGGAGGGUUUAUGCGCGUUGUUUAGCGCGACUCCGUUUACUUAUUUGUGAAUAUAUAUUGUGUGUUUGUGUUAUAUAACACAUUAUAAUGAGGAGAAAAGACAGUAUCUGCUGCAGGCGGACCAGGAAAUGCUCAAACUUUGUCUUUUAUGUUUGCUGACCCAUUGUGCAGGCAUUAAAACCGCUGCACCCAAUGCUAAGCGACCAAGUCCAUGCUUCAAGGAAAAACACAACGCAGUCUGGUGGACAUGGUCUCUGAAGAAGAAAGGAAAGAAAGAAAGACAGAGAGGAGAAAGAAAAUUACAAACAGAAGUAAGGAGAGAAAACUGUGAAAGAUGAAAGAACAGACUGUUGGACCAAUGAAUUACAAUACACUAUCUGUGUGUGUGUAACUAGGUCAAUGCUAUCGGGUCAAUACUGAGAAGCCUACAGCAGUUGAUCACUAAUAAAACACAGAGAGUAACCAACACACUUAUCAUAGUAUAUCUCUCUAUCACACACACACACUCACACUUUUUUCAUUUUCUAUCUCAUCAUCUUUUCUCUCUCUCUUUUUCUGUUUUAAACAUGUCAAAUGCCAAAUGUUCCCCCCACGUCUUCAACUAAUGCUGAACAGUGUAGCGUGAUGUGUGUGUCCUGAGGAUAGGGGUUGAUGUGAUAUGUAUGAUAGUAUGUUAGGAGCAGUUCACCCUCAGAAGAACAAGGUGUUCUUAGGCCCCGUCCACACAAAGCCGAUUUCAUGGCGAAACCGCAAAGGUCUUGUACGGUUCGGCCUUCCGUCCACACAAAGCCGGCGAAUCCGCUGACCGAAACCGCAAACUUCUGAAACCACCCUCGGAGGUGGUUUCAAAUCUAUCCGGUUUCGUUUUGGUUUCGUGUGGACGCCUGAAACCGACUGAAACCGCAAACCAUGACGUCAUCGCCCCACCCCUCGACCUCCUAGCCAAUGGCUCUUAAGCCCGCGGAGUCUCAGAAAUCACAACAAAAAUGAUGAUGGCGGACUACAAGCUUGUAAUCGUUCUGCAGCAUAUCAUGUCCCUUGUUGGGUUGCUAAGCCAUUAUUUAUUGAGAAUCUAGUUCGCCAUCGUAGAAGAGCUGUUUGUUUGUGUUGCUAGUGGUUCGGGGGGCAGCCUUUAUGCGCAUGCUCGCCUCUUCUUCUUCUGGAUUUGUGUACCAGAAGCAGCGCCCCU
rnacentral:lncRNA from 1 species